rnacentral:sRNA from 1 species
GCCUAAUGCAUGCAAGUCGAACGCAGGCUUCGGCCUGAGUGGCGAACGGGUGAGGCCCACGUGGGCAACCGACCCGCGAGUGGGGAAUAACCGCCCGAAAGGGGGGCUAAUACCGCAUACGCGCCCUGCUCGGCUGGGAGUGGGGCGGAAAGCCGGAAGGUGCUGGCGGACGGGCCCGCGGCCGAUUAGCUAGUUGGUGGGGUCACGGCCUACCAAGGCGACGAUCGGUAGCCGGUCUGAGAGGACGGCCGGCCACACGGGGACUGGGACACGGCCCCGACUCCUACGGGAGGCAGCAGUGGG